GAUGAACGCUAGCUACAGGCUUAACACAUGCAAGUCGAGGGGCAGCAUGACCUAGCAAUAGGUUGAUGGCGACCGGCGCACGGGUGAGUAACACGUAUCCAACCUACCGGUUAUUCCGGGAUAGCCUUUCGAAAGAAAGAUUAAUACCGGAUAGUAUAACGAGAAGGCAUCUUUUUGUUAUUAAAGAAUUUCGAUAACCGAUGGGGAUGCGUUCCAUUAGUUUGUUGGCGGGGUAACGGCCCACCAAGACAUCGAUGGAUAGGGGUUCUGAGAGGAAGGUCCCCCACAUUGGAACUGAGACACGGUCCAAACUCCUACGGGAGGCAGCAGUGAGGAAUAUUGGUCAAUGGACGAGAGUCUGAACCAGCCAAGUAGCGUGAAGGAUGACUGCCCUAUGGGUUGUAAACUUCUUUUAUAUGGGAAUAAAGUGAGCCACGUGUGGCUUUUUGUAUGUACCAUACGAAUAAGGAUCGGCUAACUCCGUG
rnacentral:rRNA from 2 species